UAGAUAAAAUAGAUAAAAUAAAUAAAAUAAAUAAAUAAAUAGAUAAAUAAAUAGACCGGCAACACGAUGAUGGAGCGACAGAAGACGGACAAUGAGACGAGUAACGAGAAUUGAUGCCAAGAGAUCAUAUAAAUUACUGCAUCGAUGACAACUGCGCUCUGCCACAGUGAGAUGCUGAACAACACAAUGGACUAGAUCUGGAAUAUAGUGCAAUAUGGAGCGACUGCAACAGCCUAUUCUAUGCGCAGAGAGGAAUGCAAACGCCUGCAGCACUUAUUAUAUGGGCCCAUGCAUAUGUGGCAGUAUUGGUCAUCGACUCACUCUACGCAGCCAAAGUGAGG